UACGUAGGGUGCAAGCGUUGUCCGGAAUUAUUGGGCGUAAAGGGCUCGUAGGCGGCCAACUAAGUCGGACGUGAAAUCCCUCAGCUUAACUGGGGAACUGCGCCCGAUACUGGAUGGCUUGGAUUUGGGAGAGGGAUGCGGAAUUCCAGGUGUAGCGGUGAAAUGCGUAGAUAUCUGGAGGAACACCGGUGGCGAAGGCGGCAUCCUGGACCAAUAUUGACGCUGAGGAGCGAAAGCCAGGGGAGCAAACGGG
rnacentral:rRNA from 1 species